rnacentral:rRNA from 1 species
UAUCUCUGUAGAGUCUGCAUAUCAAUAAGCGGAGGAAAAGAAACUAACUAGGAUUCCCUUAGUAACGGCGAGUGAAGCGGGAAGAGCUCAAAUUUGAAAUCUUCAAGGUUCUACCUUGACGAAUUGUAGUUUAAAGAAGUGUUUUCUGUUGGAUGUUUUGGUAAAAGUUCUUUGGAAUAGGACAUCAUAGAGGGUGAGAAUCCCGUAUUUGACCAUUAUUUCCAGCUCUGUGAUACACUUUCAAAGAGUCGGAUUGUUUGGGAAUGCAGUCCAAAAUGGGUGGUAAAUUUCAUCUAAAGCUAAAUACUUGGCGAGAGACCGAUAGCGAACAAGUACCGUGAGGGAAAGAUGAAAAGAACUUUGAAAAGAGAGUUAAACAGUACGUGAAAUUGUCAAAAGGGAAGCGUUUGACACCAGUGUUGUUUUCUCGAAAAUCAAUUAAAAAAGGCAGGAUUUUGUGUUGUAUUGACUUUAUCAGCUUUCUGCACUCUUUUCUUGUCUUUUUUCAAUGCACUUUUCGUUUAACAAGUCAACAUCAUAUUUCUUUUGUUGUAAAAGGGUCAUUGGAAGGUGGCUUUCUUUUCGGAGAAAGUGUUUAUAGCCUUUGGCCUCUGCAAUCGGAUGAGAUUGAGGUCUGCAGCGUAGAUCCUUCGGGGUUAGAUACAUUUGUGCUAAGUUAUAGCCUUUCAUAGACAACUUGUUGACUAUGAUCAGUCAUGUAGCUUACUCGCUUAUGCUAUUUUACCUACGCUUAGGAUGUUGACGAUCAGCUGAGCGCG